GCCGGGUUGGUGGAACUGGUAGACACUGGGGACUUAAAAUCCCUUGGGGUAAUUCCCGUGCGGGUUCAAAUCCCGCAUCCGGCA
rnacentral:tRNA from 1 species